GCCUGCUCCUUAAAUUGCUAUAGUGUCUGCCACAAUUGUGUACAUCUCCCGUUCUAAACUUUGUCAUCAACGAGCCACAGAUAGCUGAGCCUUCAUACGCACCCCAAAACUAUAGUAAAAUCAACUAAUUCGACUAAUUCAAACAAGGGAGAAACAAAGUAGCUAGGUAACGGUGAGUUAGAGUUUUGGCUAGGUUAUCAGGAUAUUCACUUUAGGAUCGGUUUGCAUUGGCAAGGUUGAUUGACGGCUGUGGCUAUAGCAAGACGAAAAGACGAAGAAACUAAAGAUUGUAGAGAGGUGGUGGUCAUGGCACCAGGUGGCAAGAUACUGGAAGCUGAGGCAGCCACCCCACCAAGGAAACUGCGGGAAAUCGACCACCAAGAAAAGGAGAUGCUCAUAAAAUUGCCCGCAAAAGCAAUGAGCUCCAAGAUUGGAGUUCCAUAUGGAGCAUCCUGUUCGCUGUUGGUCGAGUGCGACCCUGGUUGUUAUUGUGCUUAUAUACGUUUUAAUUACGGCAUUUGUGUCGGUGACUGCGAGUGAAUUGGUAAGUAUUGUGUCAAGAAACCCUUCAAGUACUGAAUGGUUUGUCGCCUGCAUGUGUUGUAUAAUAUGUAUUGUGCUUCUGCAUUUUUUUUUUUGGUUUUCUGGUCGAUGACAUGGGAUCUAGCAUUCGCUUUAUGGGAAGCAAAUUAUCAUGAAUGAUAGUCUCAUGCCAAUAAAAAGCAGUCUAUGCUAAACGGAACUUGUGUCCUUGUCAAGUAGUUGAUGUAAUUUCUUUGCGUUUACUAUCUUUGUUGUGAAAGUACUGCAAAAAUAUCUAUAUGGUUGUGGUCGUUUUUUGUUGUUUA